rnacentral:rRNA from 1 species
AUUGAACGCUGGCGGCAGGCCUAACACAUGCAAGUCGAAUGGUAACAGGAAACAGCUUGCUGUUUCGCUGACGAGUGGCGGACGGGUGAGUAAUGUCUGGGAAACUGCCUGAUGGAGGGGGAUAACUACUGGAAACGGUAGCUAAUACCGCAUAACGUCGCAAGACCAAAGAGGGGGACCUUCGGGCCUCUUGCCAUCAGAUGUGCCCAGAUGGGAUUAGCUAGUAGGUGGGGUAACGGCUCACCUAGGCGACGAUCCCUAGCUGGUCUGAGAGGAUGACCAGCCACACUGGAACUGAGACACGGUCCUGACUCCUACGGGAGGCAGCAGUGGGGAAUAUUGCACAAUGGGCGCAAGCCUGAUGCAGCCAUGCCGCGUGUAUGAAGAAGGCCUUCGGGUUGUAAAGUACUUUCAGCGGGGAGGAAGGGAGUAAAGUUAAUACCUUUGCUCAUUGACGUUACCCGCAGAAGAAGCACCGGCUAACUCCGUG